UAGAAAAUUUUCCCUCUCUUCCGCCCAAAAUCUCUCUUUCUCGCUCUUCCACUGAUCAAAAUCCCACUCAUCAAUUGAUCUUUUAUUAAACGCACGCUUGAUUCAUCCAAUCACGUGAUCGAAAUAAUAGCCAGAUGAAGAAACCUUACGCUGGUUGUGAACUUGAUCUUGAGUAUCGACAUCCACGGCGUCGUUUUCUUGUCCUUCAUUGACGUUUUCGAGUUCGUCGAUCUUGUCCUCGAUGGAGGAACUGAAGCCCUCAGAAUCGGAGUCACCGUCAUUUAGCAGAGGGUUGGGGCGGUCAAGGAGGUGUUGCGGUUGAUAGAGAUGCGCGUGGAGGGGAGAGACUGAGAGAAGGAGGAGGAGCGCGGCGAUAACGGCACACACUUGUGACGGGGCCGGCGACGAGAUCUGAGACUUCGUAGCAUUUCCGCAGUUAAAGAUACCGGAAGAUGGUGACAGUGACGGACAUGAUUGAUGGUGUUAUUUUGCUAAGAGAGAAGGUGAGCUGAGAUUUGGAGCUCGUUGUUUAUCUUGUGUACUGGCAGUUUGUGCCUGCUGCUUCGUGAAGCCUAGACAAGAAAUAGCUGCUAAAUCUACUACUCAAAUAGUUCAUGAACAGCAUGGAAAUAUAGCUCCCGCUGCCCGAAUGACUAUGACCAGAAUAGUUCAUCCUCUUUUUCCUUGAAUCUACCAAGGCAAUUAGACGAUAAAAGUUCGUGUUACAAGCAAAGGGAACAUGCGUACUUACAAGAAUGCAAGAGGAGAAGGGCGUGUCUUCAAUGUGGAGUUAACAGAUCAAGAUGGCACACAAUUACAAGCAACAAUGUUCAAUGAAGCUGCAAGGAAAUUCUAUGACAGGUUCCAAUUGGGAAAGGUGUAUUACAUAUCUCGGGGAACACUUAGGGUUGGUAACAAGCAAUUCAAGACUGUGCAAAAUGAUUAUUAAAUGAGCUUGAGCAAAAUGGUUUUGGCUGCACUUUCGGGGUUGUCUGCGUUCUUUGGCCUUGGAAGGUGCGGGAAUUGGCAGAAAAAGAGCCUGAUAAUGGUGUCUUUAAAAUGCUUCGCUGUGAUGUUACUCGGUUUUUAACUACUAUUCUCAUUGGCACAACGUAUUACCCUCCCCCUUAAUUGUGGCAAAUAUUGGAACCACUGCAUUGGUCACAGAGGUAACAACAACUUUAUUUGGUGAGGCUAGUGUCAGUGCAGCAAUAGGAGUAAUGACUGUUUUGAUGUGGAAGGUGUAUAGGAUGGUGGUAUUGUAAGAGCUUGUUGGUAAUUUCUUGGUGGAGAUGAAGAAACAGAUUCUUCAUCAAGAAGAGUGAACCUGUUUGGUUGGGUGAUAAUAUUUUUUCUGUUUAUUGGGUUUUGAUUGUGAAAGUUUUAUUUUUGGGGUAAUAGGUUGUUGAAGUAGUAGCAUCGCAUACGAUGCUUUUGAUUUUGGAUUGUUUUUAGGUUUGAUGGGAGUGCCCAUCUUUUCCUCACUUUCUCUCAAUAAAUCUGUGUCCUGAAAGUUGUUGUGA